AUUGAACGCUGGCGGCAGGCCUAACACAUGCAAGUCGAGCGCGAAAGUUCUUCGGAAUGAGUAGAGCGGCGGACGGGUGAGUAACGCGUGGGAAUCUGCCCAGUAGUGGGGGAUAACGUU
rnacentral:rRNA from 1 species